rnacentral:rRNA from 1 species
UACGGAGGGUGCAAGCGUUAUCCGGAAUUAUUGGGCGUAAAGAGCUCGUAGGCGGUUUGUCGCGUCUGCUGUGAAAACCCGAGGCUCAACCUCGGGCCUGCAGUGGGUACGGGCAGACUAGAGUGCGGUAGGGGAGAUUGGAAUUCCUGGUGUAGCGGUGAAAUGCGCAGAUAUCAGGAGGAACACCGAUGGCGAAGGCAGGUCUCUGGGCCGAUACUGACGCUGAGGAGCGAAAGCGUGGGGAGCGAACAGG